UUCUUGAGCACCUUUUCACUAAUGGAAUCAACAAAGCUUUUCUCCUCCCCACAGCAAACUCCACGGCAACAGUUUUCCACCAGGAAACCGUGCUGUCGGCGACUAAGCAUAGCCAUGGCCUUUAAUAAACGAGACCAUAACGAUCAUGGUAGCCUUGUGGAUGAUAACAUGAUUGUACUGAGAGUACGUAUGAGGGAGAUGAAGAUGAUGGAGGAAUUUGAUUAUCCACCUUCCCAUUGGAUGGAGUGGGAGAAGCAAUAUUAUGCGCACCAUAACUACAAUACUGAUAUUUGUGAAGCUGUAGGUCUGCUACAAAAUUUCUUGAUGAAUAUCAGGCCAAGUCUGGCUUUAGGGAUUCUAGCACUUCUUUCCACUUGUGUGCUCAUCUCUACUGGGGUGGUUUUCUCCCAUGCCAUAGAGAUCACUAAGAGAAUUUUGUCUGGGUUUCAUCUUGGCUAAUAUCCAUG
rnacentral:misc_RNA from 1 species